rnacentral:rRNA from 1 species
UCCAAGGCUAAAUACUCCUGACUGACCGAUAGUGAACCAGUACCGUGAGGGAAAGGCGAAAAGAACCCCGGCGAGGGGAGUGAAAAAGAACCUGAAACCGUGUACGUACAAGCAGUGGGAGCCUCUUAAUGGGGUGACUGCGUACCUUUUGUAUAAUGGGUCAGCGACUUAUAUUCUGUAGCAAGGUUAACCGAAUAGGGGAGCCGAAGGGAAACCGAGUCUUAACUGGGCGUUAAGUUGCAGGGUAUAGACCCGAAACCCGGUGAUCUAGCCAUGGGCAGGUUGAAGGUUGGGUAACACUAACUGGAGGACCGAACCGACUAAUGUUGAAAAAUUAGCGGAUGACUUGUGGCUGGGGGUGAAAGGCCAAUCAAACCGGGAGAUAGCUGGUUCUCCCCGAAAGCUAUUUAGGUAGCGCCUCGUGAAUUCAUCUCCGGGGGUAGAGCACUGUUUCGGCAAGGGGGUCAUCCCGACUUACCAACCCGAUGCAAACUGCGAAUACCGGAGAAUGUUAUCACGGGAGACACACGGCGGGUGCUAACGUCCGUCGUGAAGAGGGAAACAACCCAGACCGCCAGCUAAGGUCCCAAAGUCAUGGUUAAGUGGGAAACGAUGUGGGAAGGCCCAGACAGCCAGGAUGUUGGCUUAGAAGCAGCCAUCAUUUAAAGAAAGCGUAAUAGCUCACUGGUCGAGUCGGCCUGCGCGGAAGAUGUAACGGGGCUAAACCAUGCACCGAAGCUGCGGCAGCGACACUAUGUGUUGUUGGGUAGGGGAGCG